rnacentral:ribozyme from 1 species
AUCAGUGCGGUACCCGUAUCAACGGGUAUGGUCCGACGCCUCUUGAAGGAUAAUAUAGGAUCUUCAUACACCGACUCAAUACGUCCAUGGCGUACAGAACGGUAACAUAUUUCUCCAAUAAUCUGAGGUUGGGUACACGGGGAAACGCAACCCCUUGGGAGGAUGGGUCAUAUGGCUAAAUUGAGCGGG